rnacentral:rRNA from 1 species
GUAGGGAAUAUUGGGCAAUGCUCGCAAGAGUGACCCAGCCAUGCCGCGUGCAGGAAGAAGGCCUUCUGGGUUGUAAACUGCUUUUGGAAGGGAACAAAAUGGGCAUGCGUGCCAACUUGAGUGUACCUUCAGAAUAAGCACCGGCUAACUCCGUGCCAGCAGCCGCGGUAAUACGGAGGGUGCAAGCGUUGUCCGGAUUUAUUGGGUUUAAAGGGUGCGUAGGCGGCUUAUUAAGUCAGGGGUGAAAGACUAUUGCUUAACAAUGGCAGUGCCUUUGAUACUGAUAGGCUUGAGUACAGCUGAGGCAGAUGGAACGGGUGGUGUAGCGGUGAAAUGCAUAGAUACCAUCCAGAACACCGAUUGCGAAGGCAGUCUGCUAAACUGUAACUGACGCUGAGGCACGAAAGCGUGGGGAUCGAACAGGAUUAGAAACCCCAGUAGUCC